UUCUCUAUCUUUCUAAGGCAAUCUUUAAUUCAUAUAGUUCCACCCCCUUUGAAUUCACAAACCAAGACUUUACAAACAAAGGCCUUAUAUCAUUAAUCUUAAUACCUUUUUACCAAAAAAUCACUAUAUGCAUAAAUAAAAUCACAAGUUAACGCUUUAACCUCGUGUUGAGCUGUCUUAGUUUUCACAUGGUAGAGGAAUCUACGAUAAUGUGUAUGUUUUCUUGAGAAGAAAAAGGAACAAAAAAUAGGGAAAGGAAGUUAAGACUAAGAAAUAAUUAUUCAAUAAGCUGAAAAAUUAUC
rnacentral:lncRNA from 1 species